UACGGAGGAUGCGAGCGUUAUCCGGAUUUAUUGGGUUUAAAGGGUGCGUAGGCGGGAUGCCAAGUCAGCGGUAAAAAUGCGGUGCUCAACGCCGUCGAGCCGUUGAAACUGGCGUUCUUGAGUGUGCGAGAAGUACGCGGAAUGCGUGGUGUAGCGGUGAAAUGCAUAGAUAUCACGCAGAACUCCAAUUGCGAAGGCAGCAUACCGGCGCCCUACUGACGCUGAGGCACGAAAGCGUGGGUAUCGAACAGG
rnacentral:rRNA from 1 species